GACGAACGCUGGCGGCGUGGAUUAGGCAUGCAAGUCGAACGGUAUCAUCCUUUCGGGGGUGAGAGAGUGGCGAACUGGUGAGUAACACGUAGGUUAUCUACCCUCAAGACGGGGACAACCCAGGGAAACUUGGGCUAAUACCGGAUGUGAGCAACUUUUAGUUGUUUGAAAGGUGGCGUAAGCUGUCGCUUGGGGAUGAGCCUGCGUCCUAUUAGUUAGUUGGUGAGGUAACGGCUCACCUAGGCGAUGAUAGGUAGGCGGCCUUAACGGGUGGUCGCCCACACUGGGAUUGAGAUACGGCCCAGACUCCUACGGGAGGCAGCAGUGAGGAAUAUUGCACAAUGGACGAAAGUCUGAUGCAGCAACGCCGCGUGAGUGACGAAGGCCCUCGGGUUGUAAAGCUCUGUCGGGUGGGAAGAUGUGGUCCGGCUAACGACCGGAUUGUGACGGUACCAUCAAAGGAAGCACCGGCUAACUCCGUGCCAGCAGCCGCGGUAAACUGUUGUCGU
rnacentral:rRNA from 1 species